rnacentral:rRNA from 1 species
UAAGGAAUAUUGGUCAAUGGAGGCAACUCUGAACCAGCCAUGCCGCGUGCAGGAAGACGGCCCUCUGGGUUGUAAACUGCCUUUAUUCGGGAAUAAACCUAUCUACGUGUAGAUAGCUGAAUGUACCGAAGGAAUAAGGAUCGGCUAACUCCGUGCCAGCAGCCGCGGUAAUACGGAGGAUCCAAGCGUUAUCCGGAUUUAUUGGGUUUAAAGGGUGCGUAGGCGGCCUAUUAAGUCAGGGGUGAAAGACUGUAGCUCAACUAUCGCAGUGCCGUUGAUACUAAUAGGCUUGAAUGUAGUAGAGGUAGACGGAAUGUGACGAGUAGCGGUGAAAUGCGUAGAUAUGUGACAGAACACCGAUUGCGAAGGCAGCUUACUAUGGUAUUAUUGACGCUGAGGGACGAAAGCGUGGGGAUCAAACA